GCGGCCUCAGAUGAAUGCGGCUGUUAAGACCUGCAAUAAUCCAGAAUGGCUACUCUGAUCUAUGUUGAUAAGGAAAAUGGAGAACCAGGCACCCGUGUGGUUGCUAAGGAUGGGCUGAAGCUGGGGUCUGGACCUUGUAAGUAUACAAGGCUGCAGUCGGAUACACUGGUAUUGUGGACGUGGCCUGGAGCUGGACGAGACAUUUAGUGUACUUUUUGGGCAAUUGGAGUCGUUUGUUAUUGGUCCUUUUUCAUUUUUAAUAUCUUAAUGAGAUGAUUUAAGGAAGUUACUGAAUCUCUGCUAUUAGGCCUAUCAUAGCCAUGCCACUACCAAAAGUGGGGGGUGGGUUUGGGGGUGAGAGGUCAAGUUUAUAUACACAGUAUUUAAGUUGUACAGGUAUUUUGCUGCUGGAAUAUUCUUAUGGUAAGACUUUUUCUUCAGCAAUCAAAGCCUUAGAUGGGAGAUCUCAAGUUUCAACACCACGUUUUGGCAAAACGUUCGAUGCCCCACCAGCCUUACCUAAAGCUACUAGAAAGGCUUUGGGAACUGUCAACAGAGCUACAGAAAAGUCUGUAAAGACCAAGGGACCCCUCAAACAAAAACAGCCAAGCUUUUCUGCCAAAAAGAUGACUGAGAAGACUGUUAAAGCAAAAAGCUCUGUUCCUGCCUCAGAUGAUGCCUAUC
rnacentral:lncRNA from 1 species